rnacentral:rRNA from 1 species
AUUGAACGCUGGCGGCAGGCCUAACACAUGCAAGUCGAGCGAGCGGCGGCCGGGUGAGUAAUGCCUGGGAAUUGCCCAGGCGAGGGGGAUAACAGUUGGAAAAGAAUGCUAAUAACGCAUACGCUUGGAUUGCCCAGGUGGGAUUGGCUAGUUGGUGGAGUGAUGGCUCAACAAGGCGACGAUCACUAGCUGGUCUGAGAGGAUGAUCAGCAACACGGCAAAUGCGAGGCCCUCCAGCCUACUGCGGGAGGCAGCAGGGGUGAAUAUUGGACAAUGGGGGAAACCCUGAUGCAGCCAUGCGGUGUUGGUGAAGAAGGCCUUCGGGUGGUGAAGUACUUUCAGCGAGGAGGCGUCACCCGCAGAAGAAGCACCUGCUAACUCCGUGCCAGCAGCGGCGGCUG